AUGGCGGCGAUGGAGGCGGCUCUGGUGAGUGUGGCGACGGGGGUCCUGAAACCUGUUCUGGGGAAGCUGGGCGCUCUGCUCAGCGAAAAGUACAAUCGUUUCAAGCGGGUGCGCAAGGAUAUCAAGUCCCUCACCGAUGAGCUUGCCGCCAUGGAUGCCUUUCUCAUGAAGAUGUCAGAGGAGGAGGAUCCUGAUGUACAAGAUAAAGUUUGGAUGAAUGAGGUGCGUGAGCUGUCCUACGAUAUGGAGGAUUGCAUCGACGAUUUCAUGCAAAGCGUUGAUGACAAGGACCCUGAGCCAGAGGGCUUCAUAGAGAAGAUCAAGCACUCGCUAGGUAAGUUGGGGAAGAUGAAGGCUCGCCGUCGGAUUGCCAAUGAGAUCCAUGAUCUGAAGAAACAGAUCACUGAGGUGGGCGAGAAGAAUGCAAGGUACAAGACUGAGGUGGGCAAGAGGAAUGCAAGGCACAAGACCGUCGAAGCCUUCUCGGAGACCAUCGAUGGAACCAUUGACACUAGAGCUCUUGUCAUCUUUGAUGAUGUGUCAAAGAUUGUCGGAAUGGACGAAUCAAAGACUGAGGUUAUCAAUUUGUUGACUGAAGAGUACGGACGUGGGUCAUCACGACAACUGAAGGUAGUAUCUAUCUUUGGGCCUGGAGGAAUGGGCAAAACAACUCUUGCAAAUCAAGUGUAUCAAGAGCUUAGGAGAGGAUUCGUCUGUCAAGCUUUCUUAUCUGUGUCGCGAAGUCCAAGCAUUAUGAACAUCCUGAGAACCAUAUUCAGUAAAGUUAGCAACCGACCUUAUGCUGGUACUGAAGAAGGGAGUGUGCAGCAACUUGCUAUCAACAUAUACGAGUUCUUACAAGACAAAAGGUACUUUAUCGUUGUUGAUGAUAUAUGGGAUAUGGAUACAUGGGAUGUUAUUAAGUGUGCAUUCCCCAUGACCAGGAUGGGUAGUAGAAUAAUCACCACUACUCGGAUAAACAGUGUGGCAGAGGCAUGUAGUUCAUCAUUCAAUGGCCAUGUUUAUGGUAUAAGGCCUCUUGAUAUUGUGUACUCUAGACAGUUGUUCUAUAGAAGACUAUUCAACUCUGAAGAACAUUGCCCUUCGCACCUUCAAGAAGUUUCUAAUCAAAUCUUGCAAAAAUGCGGUGGCUUGCCUUUGGCGAUCAUUGCAAUUUCUGGUCUGCUGGCUAGCAAACAGAAAACAACAGAGAUAUGGAAUGAAGUGAAAGAUUCAAUUGGGCGUGCACUUGAACGAAAUCGUAGCGUUGAAAAUAUGAUGAAAAUUUUGUCACUUAGUUACUUUGAUCUGCCUUCUCUUCUCAAAACUUGCCUCUUGUGCCUGGGUAUAUUUCCAGAGGAUACUGUUAUCGAGAAGAAAUGUCUUAUAAGGAGAUGGAUUGCUGAAGGGUUAUUUCACAAAGAAGGCAGAUAUACAGUACAUGAGUUGGGGGAGAUGUGUUUCAAUGAGCUUGUCAAUAGGAAUUUGAUCCAACUGGUGAUUGACGAACACCAUAAGCUGAAUACUUGUAGAGUUCAUGACACAAUUCUUGAUUUCAUCAUAUCCAAGUCCAUUGAAGAUAACUUUGUUACUUUGGUUGGGGUUCCCUUUGUACCAGUUAAUGUCAAACGGAAAGUUCGUCGGCUCUCUAUCCAACUUGAUACACAGGGAAAUUGUAUCGUGCAAAAAAGAAGACUGGUAUUGUCCCAUGCCAGAUCACUCAAUAUUUUUGGAAAUUCAGGGGAAAUGUCUCGAUUGGAUGAAUUCAGGCAUUUGCGUAUUGUAGAUUUUGGAUGUUGGGGUUCCCCCUACAAUGGAAACAUCGAACACCAUAUUAAAAAUAUAGGGAGGUUGCUUCAUCUAAGGUACCUGAACCUAAGGGGAACAAGAAUAUCUGAGCUCCCAGGAGAUAUCGGGUGUCUACGUGGCCUAGAGAUGUUAGAUAUAAGAGGCACCUUCGUAUGGGAACUGCCAGCAAGUAUUGUAAAUCUAGGGAAAUUGGUGCAUCUAUUGACUGACUGCAAAGUUACAUUUCCUGAUGGAAUUGGGAAGUUGCAGGCACUGGAGGUGUUGAAAUGGGUCGACUUUUCAUUGCAAAGUCUUGACUACAUGCAACAACUUGGACAGCUAAGGAAUCUGAGAAGGUUGUUCAUUGAUGUCAAUGAACGUGCAAGGAGACUUCCUGUCUCUUCCUUUUGUGACUUUAGCUUGCUGGAGAAGCUUGGUUAUCUGAAAAUAAAAAAUGGGAACACAUUCUUACCAUUGGGAACUGCGUGCCCUGUUGCGCCUAGCCUUCAGAAGCUCGUCUUAAUUGAUUCGCCAGUCCUGCAUGUUCCGGAUUGGAUGCGCGCACUUGUCAACCUUCAAGAGUUACGCAUUGAAGUGAAGGGAAUCACGCAGAGUGACCUUUGCAUUCUCGGAAGCUUACCUGCUCUGCUCAAGCUGGAACUAGAAGGGAGAUACCAUGAUUCUAAAGAUAGAAUGCUGACAGUCAGUGCUGAAGCUGGGUUCCCAUACUUGACCAAGUUCCGAUAUUAUGCAGACCAAGAAGGAAUAAAUCUCAAGUUCGCAGCAGGCUCCAUGCCCAACCUAGAAAUGCUUGUGAUCGUGCUACGUGCGUGUAGAACUGAGGCACUCGCUGAUUGUUUUGAUUUCGGGAUAAAGAAUCUGCCCAGACUCGUUACUGUCGAUUGUACAGUAGAACAAGGCGACUGCAGCAGUUUUAAGGCUGCUAUGAAGAGUGCAGGCAGCACACAUCCCAACCGCCCUACUGUACUCUUUUCGCAGCACAUCGACGAGGACGAGGAUUAA
rnacentral:rRNA from 1 species